AUAGGAAAAAUCUGAGCAAAAACAAUGCAGGGCUUCAGAUCGAGAGUUUUCGAAAUAGAAACCCUAGGGUUUGAAAACAAAACCAAAAAAAUCAAGAAAAAAGGCUCACGGAGAGAAUCAAGGAGCUGAAGUACUUGAUUGGAGAUGGAGAUUUAUAAGGUCGGGAUGAGAUGAAAUGCGUCAUAUACGAUCGUAUGUAUGGAUUGGGAUACGGCCCUGGGAAGGUUUUUGAAGAUGAACCUCUCUCUCUUUGUAAGAUAUAUUCAAUUUCAAGCGAGAAAUUGGAUUUUCUUCAUCUCUGAAACUCGCACUCUCAAAGCUUCCUGCAAAUGAUACACGCAUCAUCAAGCCACAUCUAGUUUUUUCCUCUGUCGAAAUCCAAUCAUGGAAUUGCUCCCAAACGACCUGUCUUCUAAUUACCGUUUUCUUCUUCUGAGAGCUAGAGAUAGAGAGAGAUUGAAUUAGGGUUUUUGAGAUGGGUUCAAAAGAUCAAAAGCAAGGCGGUGGAUUCUUCUCCUCGAUCGCAUCCAGCAUCUCGAAUUUCGGCACUGCCAUGCACAAAUCCGUCAACGGCAAUUGGUAAAAGAUAGUGAUGAGAAGUUAUGUGAUUGAGUUUUUUUACUUCUUCAGGGAAGUUUAUGGCAAAUACUGCGAGGAGAGACUGAAGAGGCAAUUCGUGGCACACCUACUGCCAUGACACAUGUGUGAGAUCUGGGCUACCUACCCAUCAAGUGAUGGCCAUUGCAAGCAUGCCCUCUCUCAAAAUCAGGCUAGUCCACUCAUUAGGUGGGCAACUGAUUAGCGGUCUAUAUUCAAGGUACACAUGGUGAACCUGAUGAGUGUACCAUCUUGAUUUUUUGCCUGGACAUGUUCACAGUAGCUACCGAGUUUCCCGGAUGCCACACGUGCUA